rnacentral:rRNA from 1 species
AGAGUUUGAUCAUGGCUCAGAAUCAACGCUGGCGGCGCGCUUAACACAUGCAAGUCGCACGAGAAAGGGGCAACCUGAGUAAAGUGGCGUACGGGUGAGUAACACGUGGGUAAUCUACCUCUUAGUGGGGAAUAACCUGGGGAAACCCGGGCUAAUACCGCAUAAGCUCGAGAGAGGAAAGCAGCAAUGCGCUGAGAGAGGAGCCCGCGGCCGAUUAGCUAGCUGGCAGGGUAAGAGCCUACCAAGGCAGAGAUCGGUAGCCGGCCUGAGAGGGCACACGGCCACACUGGCACUGAAACACGGGCCAGACUCCUACGGGAGGCAGCAGUGGGGAAUCUUGCACAAUGGAGGCAACUCUGAUGCAGCGACGCCGCGUGAGCGAUGAAGCCCUUCGGGGUGUAAAGCUCUUUCGUCAGGGAAGAUGAUGACGGUACCUGGAGAAGCAGCUGCGGCUAACUACGUGCCAGCAGCCGCGGUAAUACGUAGGCAGCGAGCGUUGUUCGGAGUUACUGGGCGUAAAGGGUGUGUAGGCGGUUCUUUAAGUUUGGUGUGAAAUCUCCCGGCUCAACCGGGAGGGUGCGCCGAAUACUGAGGGACUCGAGUGCGGGAGAGGAAAGUGGAAUUCCUGGUGUAGCGGUGAAAUGCGUAGAUAUCAGGAGGAACACCGGUGGUGUAGACGGCUUUCUGGACCGUAACUGACGCUGAAACACGAAAGCGUGGGUAGCAAACAGGAUUAGAUACCCUGGUAGUCCACGCCCUAAACGAUGCAUAUUUGGUGUGGGUCAUUCAGUUGAUCCGUGCCGGAGCUAACGCGUUAAAUAUGCCGCCUGGGGAGUACAGUCGCAAGGCUGAACUCAAAGGAAUUGACGGGGGCCCGCACAAGCGGUGGAGCAUGUGGUUCAAUUCGACGCAACGCGAAGAACCUUACCUGGGCUCGAACGGGUA